rnacentral:rRNA from 1 species
GUAGGGAAUAUUGCGCAAUGGACGAAAGUCUGACGCAGCGACGCCGCGUGAGUGAUGAAGGCCUUAGGGUCGUAAAGCUCUGUUGAAUGGGAAGAAAAAAAUGACGGUACCAUUCGAGGAAGGACCGGCUAACUUCGUGCCAGCAGCCGCGGUAAUACGAGGGGUCCUAGCGUUGUUCGGAAUCAUUGGGCGUAAAGGGUGUGUAGGUGGCCAUGUAAGUCAGGUGUGAAAGCCCCGGGCUCAACCCGGGAAGUGCACUUGAUACUGCGUGGCUUGAGUACCGAAGAGGGUAGUGGAAGUCCAGGUGUAGUGGUGAAAUACGUAGAUAUCUGGAGGAACACCGGUGGCGAAGGCGGCUACCUGGUCGAGUACUGACACUGAGACACGAAAGCAUGGGGAUCAAACAGGAUUAGAUACCCCGGUAGUCC